rnacentral:rRNA from 1 species
GAUGAACGCUAGCUACAGGCUUAACACAUGCAAGUCGAGGGGAAACGGCAUUAAGUGCUUGCACUUUUUGGACGUCGACCGGCGCACGGGUGAGUAACGCGUAUCCAACCUUCCCAUGACUAAGGGAUAACCUGCCGAAAGGCAGACUAAUACCUUAUGGUCUUCACUGACGGCAUCAGAUGUGAAGUAAAGAUUUAUCGGUUAUGGAUGGGGAUGCGUCUGAUUAGUUAGUUGGCGGGGUAACGGCCCACCAAGGCAACGAUCAGUAGGGGUUCUGAGAGGAAGGUCCCCCACAUUGGAACUGAGACACGGUCCAAACUCCUACGGGAGGCAGCAGUGAGGAAUAUUGGUCAAUGGGCGAGAGCCUGAACCAGCCAAGUAGCGUGCAGGAAGACGGCCCUAUGGGUUGUAAACUGCUUUUGUAUGGGGAUAAAGUCAAUCAC